ACGCGCCCGUGCGGCGCUUCGGAGUCCAGCCUCGCCCUGGCCGAGGUCGCGGCGCGCGCUGCUCCCAGGCUGACCCUCUGCUGCUGCCUGCUGGCGCGCAAGGGGCGCUGCUCCUGCGCCCCCCACCUCAGCUGCGGAAGCGGCGCCCACCGCGCCUCCUUCGAGGGGGCCGCCUCCACAGAGCGCGCGAGCAAUUCCGCCCGCGCCCCCCACCACUUCCCCAGCCGGCGAGUGUGCGGCAGGCAGCCCCCGCCCGGCCCUGCUUGCCUCCCUGGUGUUCUCCCGGCUUCUCCCCCUCCUGCUCCCGCUGUGUCAGGUAGAUUACAGCGAGCGGCGGGAACGAGCGCGCGGGAGGGCUGCCUUCCUCCAAGGCGCCCCGCAGCGGCCGCCCAGCAGGAGGCACGCUGCUCGCCUGGAGGGGAGCGGCUUCCGACGGGGCUCGGCUGGUUGCCAGCUGCGCGCUCCGGCAGCUUCCAGGCCCGCGCCAUUCACUUCCCAGCUGCGGGCGCAGGAGCCGCCGGCCGGGAGCAAAAGCCCGGAAAAUGAGCUCCCGCUGCUCCGCUGAGGAGAAGGCGGAGACCUCCCCCACCCCACCCGCCGUCCCUUUCUCCAGGCGCCGCGCUUCUCGGGCCGCUCAGGCGGGCUUCUUGCCUUGCCUAUCGCUGCAUCUCGCCAUUCUAAGACGGCGGAGUUCGUGCUUGUUGUGAGCCCAGCCCCGCGCCACAUGAGGGGCGCCCGCCUAUUCAGACGAUGUCUAUCAUCCGCGUCAGUCAUUCCCGAAGUAUGCCGCCGCGACGCGAGAAAAGAGAUGCGUGGAAUGAGAAGCGGCGGGACCCAAAGAAGCGGCGGCGGCAGCUCUGUGUGAAUCACGCCUCUCCGGGUCAGUUUCCUAGGCGAACAGGAGUCAAGCCACCGGCCCAUCUAGCUCGGUGUUGUCGGCACUGACCGGCAGUGGUUCUCCAAGGAGCCUCUCUCAGCCCUCCCUGGAAACGUCUGGGAUUGAACCCGGCGCCUUCUGCAUGCCAAGCAGGUGCUCUGUCACAGAACUAUGUAUGACCCUUUUCCUAGGGUGGCUUAACAUGUUUCUGACAAGGGCUCUCUCUGAGCAGCAAGACUCAUGGUUUACUUGCAGAAGGUCUGAGGCUCAAUCUACAAGGAGGCCAAGCAGGCCAGGGGAAAGAUUUCAGUCCCAGACCCUGCAGAGCUGCUGCCAGUCAGUGGAGCCCGCACUGUGCCACUGACCACUGCUGGAGGUCGUGCGCCUCUGAAUCUCAGUUGCUGGAACCCACAGGGGGACAGAGCGCUGCUGCUCUCAGGUCCCGCUUGCAGGUUUCCCACAGCAUUGCAUCCAGUUCAACAAAUGCGUUUUGGCUGUCAGACCUUUGGCUAACACAAUUAGAGGCACGUUUCAUGUGGGAAAGCAGCUUUUAAUGUGACUGCUUGCUUUGGUUCAAUAUUAAAGGUAAAGGUACCCCUGCCCAUCAGGGCCAGUCGUGACCGACUCUAGGGUUGCGCGCUCAUCUCGCUCAAGAGGCCGGGAGCCGGCACUGUCCGAAGACACUUCCGGGUCAUGUGGCCAGCGUGACUAAGCUGUAUCUGGCGAGCCAGCACCAAUAUUGGUUCAAUAUUAUCAAGACACAAAAAUCUGAAAUACAUAGCUGUGGUUCAGCUGACUGGGAAAUCCCUCUAUCAGUCAGAAACAGACACAGACACAAUUUCUGACCUAGGCAGCCCCAUCCUGCAUGUCAAGUCAUUGACACAAUCCCAGCAUCACAAGCAUCUUCUGUCAAAAGUGUUGGCUCCAGAUUUUUUGGGCCCCUUGGUCAUUACUCUUUUAUUAGGCCCUUCUCCUUGCCACUGUCAUCUCCGCUUGGCCUCCCUCCAGAUUCCAAGUGCAACACUGCCCUGAAGGAGAGAGGGAGGCAAGCGGAGACAACUGCUGCUGUUCCUCUUUGCUCCUAUCAUAUGUGGAGGGCAGGCAAACAUGCAAUAACAUGAGAGCAAGCAGGACCCAGAAACACUGGGAAUCAGCAGUGGGUCUCCUGUCCCAGCUGUGCUGAUCCCUGAUCCCUGGCAGACCACAUGUUCAGCUGCAAGCGCCUGUCUCUUUGAACCACUGUGUAGAUCAUUUGUGUUAUACAAGGGGAUAUUGGAGAGGGUGGGGCAUUGGGCUUCUUCUCACUUUAUGAAGCAAUAUUGUUUGCUGCAGUUACACAGAUGUUUCCAGCAGUAAAGCCAGGGUAACCAGAACAUUUUGAGGACUACCAUUCCCAUUAGCCACAGCAAGCAUAACCACUGGUCGGGGAUGAUGGGAGUUGUAGUCCAACAUCAUCUGGGAACCCUCUUUGUUGCUGUUUGCUGAGGAUCACGGAACAUUUCACUGCAACAGGAAAAUACAAUUUUGCAUCUAAAGGUUUUCGGAAAGUAUUGAGAAGUUUUGUGAACCAGCUUUGUAGGCUGCCAAACACAAAACUAUUACUGGCUUAGCUGGCCAGACAACUUUCUUGCAAAAAGCCAAACCUUCAUCAAGCUCUCGUGAACCUUAUGGGCAUACCAUGUUUGUCAACUGCUGGCAACAAACUGUAAUCAGGAUAUCGACUCAGCUGUGUGUGGGAUUUUAAGAGUAACUUCUUGUUUGUUUAGACAUCUGUCCAAGAGAAAAUGCCCUACAUAAGAACUCAGAUGCUCAUACAUGCAAUAGAUGUGUGAAGAAAGGCCCUGAUCUGCCCCACUAUUUCUCUAAGCCAGUCAGUCACAAAGGGAUACUCAAGAUGCUUGUCUGGGAAAGGGGACCAGUGGGGCCAAAUGGCUCUGGAUCUCAUUGGUCAGUAAGAGCCAGGGGCCACUUCUUCAGCAGAGGAGACUUUGAAAAGCUGAGCUGCCUUUGCAAAAUUGUUCCAUCCCACCAUCAGGAAUCCAGACUGGACUUUUGGGGAAGUGGAACUUCCUUGCUGCCUACUUGUAAGUCAGUUAGAACCAUAUUGUAGUGGCUAAGCUAGGAUCAGUUCAGUGCUCUUAUUUACAGUCGUUCCUUGGUUUUCAAACAGCUUAGCUCCCGAAUGUUUUGGCUCCCGAACGUUGCGUGACUGUUCCGGUUUGAGAACUGUUUUUGGAAGCCGAACGUCCAACGGGGCUUCCACGACUUCUGAUUGGCUGCAGGAGCUUCCUGCAACCAAUCAGAAGCCACAAUUUGGUUUUUGAACGUUUUGGAAGUUGAACAGACUUCCGGAUCAGACUUCCAAGGUACCACUGUAUUUGGCAUUCUGUUUCGACCUGCCUGCUUUCCCUUUUUUUAAAUAAAGUUCCCUAAUUUG
rnacentral:lncRNA from 1 species